rnacentral:tRNA from 1 species
GAGGAUUUAGCUUAAUUAAAGUGUUUGAUUUGCAUUCAAUUGAUGUAGGAUAAGUCCUGCAGUCCUUAGGUUUUCAGGAGUUAAGUACUUUGUAC